rnacentral:rRNA from 1 species
AUUGAACGCUGGCGGCAUGCCUUACACAUGCAAGUCGAACGGCAGCACGGGAGCAAUCCUGGUGGCGAGUGGCGAACGGGUGAGUAAUAUAUCGGAACGUGCCCAGUCGUGGGGGAUAACGUAGCGAAAGCUACGCUAAUACCGCAUACGAUCUAUGGAUGAAAGCGGGGGAUCGCAAGACCUCGCGCGAUUGGAGCGGCCGAUAUCAGAUUAGGUAGUUGGUGAGGUAAAGGCUCACCAAGCCGACGAUCUGUAGCUGGUCUGAGAGGACGACCAGCCACACUGGGAUGGGGACACGGCCCAGACUCCUACGGGCGGCGGCAGUGGGGAAUUUUGGACAAUGGGCGCAAGCCUGAUCCAGCAAUGCCGCGUGAAGGAUGAAGGCCUUCGGGUUGUAAACUGCUUUUGUACGGAACGAAACGGUGAGCUCUAAUACAGUUUGCUAAUGACGGUACCGUAAGAAUAAGCACCGGCUAACUACGUGCCAGCCGCCGCCGUAACAC